GCCCGGUCGGCAGCACCGGCGGGAAAGUGUCAGUCGGAGCCAUGGGUGGGGGCGUGGGGACCUCGAGUUCCGGGGGUGGCCCCAGCAGCAGCGGCGGAGGAGGCAGCGGCGUCCCCAGUGCGGGCACCAGCUUCCCGCCGCCCGGAGUGAAGCUGGGCCGUGACAGCGGGAAGGUGACCACAGUGGUAGCCACUCUAGGCCAAGGCCCGGAGCGCUCCCAGGAGGUGGCUUACACAGACAUCAAAGUGAUUGGCAAUGGCUCAUUUGGGGUUGUGUACCAGGCACGGCUGGCAGAUACCAGGGAACUGGUAGCCAUCAAGAAGGUUCUCCAGGACAAGAGGUUCAAGAACCGAGAGCUGCAGAUUAUGCGGAAGCUGGACCACUGCAAUAUCGUGAGGCUGAGAUACUUUUUCUACUCCAGUGGGGAGAAGAAAGACGAGCUUUACCUAAAUCUGGUGCUGGAGUACGUGCCCGAGACAGUGUACCGGGUGGCCCGUCAUUUCACCAAGGCCAAGUUGACCAUCCCUAUCAUCUAUGUCAAGGUAUACAUGUACCAGCUCUUCCGGAGCUUGGCCUACAUCCACUCCCAGGGCGUGUGUCACCGUGACAUCAAACCCCAGAAUCUGCUGGUGGACCCUGACACGGCUGUCCUCAAGCUCUGUGAUUUUGGCAGUGCAAAGCAGCUGGUCCGGGGGGAGCCCAAUGUCUCCUACAUCUGUUCUCGCUACUAUCGUGCCCCCGAGCUGAUCUUUGGAGCCACUGAUUAUACCUCAUCUAUUGAUGUGUGGUCAGCUGGCUGCGUACUGGCCGAGCUCCUCCUGGGCCAGCCCAUCUUCCCUGGGGACAGUGGGGUAGACCAGCUGGUGGAAAUCAUCAAGGUGCUGGGAACACCAACCCGGGAGCAGAUCCGAGAGAUGAACCCCAACUACACGGAGUUCAAGUUCCCCCAGAUUAAAGCUCACCCUUGGACAAAGGUGUUCAAAUCUCGAACGCCACCCGAGGCCAUAGCGCUCUGCUCUAGCCUGCUGGAGUACACACCGUCCUCGAGGCUCUCCCCAUUGGAAGCCUGUGCCCACAGCUUCUUUGAUGAACUGCGAUGUCACGGAAUCCAGCUCCCUAACAACCGCUCGCUUCCCCCCCUCUUCAAUUUCAGUCCUGGUGAACUCUCCAUCCAACCAUCUCUCAACGCCAUUCUCAUCCCUCCUCACUUGAGGUCCCCGGCGGGCACUGCCACCCUCACCCCAACCUCACAAGGUUUAAGUGAGGCUCAGACCGGCUCAGAAUGGCAGUCAGCCGAAGCCACAGCUCCCCUCACUAACUCCUCCUGAGGGCCCUGCCAACUACCCUUCCAUCUGGGAGCCCCAGGUGGGGCUGGGAAAGGGGGGCCAUAGCUCCUGCCCUGGCUGGGCCCCUAGACUAGAGGGCAGAGAAAACGUCGAUUCGCACCGUCCAACCUGGCUCCUCCCCCUCCUACAGCUGUGUUCCCCUCCUGUCCUCUGCCCUAAGGUCUCCUCCCUCCUCUCCCCACCCUGGAGGGCUGGGUUAGGGAUGGUGGGGGGAUCCUGAUGUCUUAGUUUCCACAGUAAGGUUUGCCUGUGUACAGACCUCCGUUCAAUAAAUUAUUGGCAUGAAACCUG